AGACACUGUUUCAAAGUAUUUUCCAUUCGUUAAUUUAUUUAAUCAUCACAACAUCCUGAUGAGGCUGAGAUUGUUAUUUCCGGUUUUACAGAUGAGGAAACUGAGGCACUGAGGACUUCAGGAACUUGCCCACUGUUUCACAGCCAGGAAGAGGCAGAUUGCAGAUUUGGAGCCCAGAGAGUGCUGUUCUUAGUGUACACUGCCUCCUUGAUGCUGCUGGUCUCCCCUGGUGCCACCUCCAGCUUCGGGCUCCAGAACCUUCACGGUCAGGCUCUGGGUUCUGACCUUUUCCUGUCUUCAGCAACUAAAGAAUAAGAAGCAGGCAGAGACACAGAUGCUCCACGGCAGCCCUCCACGGACACCCAGCAAGCGGCGAGGUCUGGCACCCAGCACUCUGGGCAAAGUGCGCAAGAUUCUAAGCUCCCAGGAUUCCAUUAUCACUGAGAUGCUAAGAGUGAACAGAUGUAAAGUGUCAAAAGCUAAAUGAGAAAAAGAAGAGAACAGUCAUUCGGAGCCCCAGCAAGUAUCAUGGAACGCCCUGGGAUGUGCCCAGGAAACUAGAGUCACCGGAGGCUCACUUCAAAAGCUGGUCUUCAGUUGCGGCUGAGCAAAGUCCCGGCCUGCGGGUUCCAGCCCGUUGACACUGGAUCACGAAACACAAAUAGGUACUCUCUCCCAAGGAGAGGGGUGGGAGUGUUCGCUAAAAUGUGUUCAGUAUCAAGAUAAGGGUUUUGCAUAUCAUUAAGGGUUUGUCUUUUUUAAACCGGAAGUGUAGGAUUGCAGACACACAUGUAAUAAAAAGAUGGUACCAGCCUUUGAUAAUUUGUGUGUGUGGUCAUUAUAAGGAUGAUACAUUGAUUGAUUUUUUUUUUUCUCUCUCUACAGGUGUCAUUACUUCUACCAGUUUGAGGAGAAAAACACCCGCUGGUGUCAAGCCUGGAACCAAUGAGAAGAACCUGGAGCUCAUUGGCAGCAUCCUCAGUGGCACUGUUUGCACUACUGGAAGCAAAAGCACAGAGGAAUCAACACCAUCUUCAACUGGUGGGACAGGUUUGUUUGUUUGUUUGUUUAGGGCUGCUCUUGUGGCACGUAAGGCAUAUGGAAGUUCCCAGGCUAGGGGUUGAAUCAGACCUGCAGCUGCCAGCCUACACCACAGCCACAGCAACUCAGGAUCUGAGCCGCCUCUGCAACCUGUUACACCACAGCUCACUGUGA
rnacentral:lncRNA from 1 species